CGUUUCAACUUGAGAGUUUGAUCCUGGCUCAGAACGAACGCUGGCGGCAGGCCUAACACAUGCAAGUCGAGCGCGCCCUUCGGGGUGAGCGGCGGACGGGUUAGUAACGCGUGGGAACGUGCCCUUCUCUAAGGAAUAGCCACUGGAAACGGUGAGUAAUACCUUAUACGCCCUUC
rnacentral:rRNA from 1 species